AAAACCUGGCGGCAGCUUACCAUGCAAGUCGAGCGAGAUCUUCGGGUCUAGCGGCGGACGGGUGAGUAACGCGUGGGAACGUGCCCUUUGCUACGGAAUAGUCCUGGGAAACUGGGGGUAAUACCGUAUACGCCCUUUUGGGGAAAGAUUUAUCGGCGAAGGAUCGGCCCGCGUUGGAUUAGGUAGUUGGUGGGGUAAUGGCCUACCAAGCCGACGAUCCAUAGCUGGUUUGAGAGGAUGAUCAGCCACACUGGGACUGAGACACGGCCCAGACUCCUACGGGAGGCAGCAGUGGGGAAUCUUAGACAAUGGGGGCAACCCUGAUCUAGCCAUGCCGCGUGAGUGAUGAAGGCCUUAGGGUUGUAAAGCUCUUUCAGCUGGGAAGAUAAUGACGGUACCAGCAGAAGAAGCCCCGGCUAACUCCGUGCCAGCAGCCGCGGUAAU
rnacentral:rRNA from 1 species